UACGAAGGGUGCAAGCGUUACUCGGAAUUACUGGGCGUAAAGGGUGCGUAGGUGGUUUGUUAAGUCUGCUGUGAAAUCCCCGGGCUCAACCUGGGAAUGGCAGUGGAUACUGGCAAGCUAGAGUGCGGUAGAGGGUAGUGGAAUUCCCGGUGUAGCAGUGAAAUGCGUAGAUAUCAGGAGGAAUACCGAUGGCGAAGGCAGGUCUCUGGGCUGAUACUGACGCUCAUGCACGAAAGCGUGGGGAGCAAACAGG
rnacentral:rRNA from 1 species